rnacentral:rRNA from 1 species
UAAUGCUGGCGGCGUGCCUAACUAUGCAAGUCUAUGGUUUUGCUUGCAAAACCAUGGCAGACGAGUGAGUAAUAUGUAGGAAUCUACCCUCAACACAGCCAUAACUUACCGAAAGGUAAACUAAUAGCUGAUAAUCCAGUUUACUGGUAAAGAUUCGUCGGUUGAGGACGAGCCUGCACCCCAUCAGAUAGUUGGUAAGGUAAUGGCUUACCAAGUCUAUAACGGGUAGGGGGCGUGAAAGCGUGUACCCCCACGAUGGCACUGAGAUACGGGCCAUACAUCUACGGAUGGCAGCAAGUAGGAAUAUUGCGCAAUGGGAGCCUUUGGCUCCUGACGCAGCGACGCCGCGUGUAGGAAGACGGUUUUCGGAUUGUAAACUAACAUCAAGAAGGGACUGCUAACUUCGUGCCAGCAGCAGCGGUCAUACGGAGGUCCCAAGCAUUAUCCGGUUUUAUUUGGCGUAAAGAGUUCUGUAGGCGGUAUUGUAAGUUACGGGUUAAAUCUUUCGGCUCAACCGGAAUCCUGCUCGUAAUACUGCAAUACUAGAGGUAGAUAGGGGAGGGCGGAACGUAUGGUGUAGCGGUGGAAUGCGUUGAUAUCAUACGGAACACCAAAGGCGAAGGCAGCCCUCUGGGUCUAUUCUGACGCUAAGAGACGAAAGCGUGGGGCGCGAAACGGAUUAGAUACCCGUGUAGUCCACGCUGUAAACGAUGUCUACUAGAUUCGUGUUAUCCAUUGGAUGAUGCGUGUCGCAG